rnacentral:ncRNA from 1 species
UGAGCUGGGGAGCUUGUUGAACAGGCUGAGAGGAAGCAUUUGGCUUCGACCCGUGGACCUGACGCGGAUAAUGCCGCCGUAGGGAGU